AGAUUGAACGCUGGCGGCAUGCUUUACACAUGCAAGUCGAGCGGCAGCGCGGGGGCAACCCUGGCGGCGAGCGGCGAACGGGUGAGUAACACAUCGGAACGUAUCCCGUAGAGGGGGAUAGCCCGGCGAAAGCCGGAUUAAUACCGCAUAUGCUCUACGGAGGAAAGUGGGGGACUCGCAAGGGCCUCACGCUAUGGGAGCGGCCGAUGGCCGAUUAGCUAGUUGGUGGGGUAAAGGCCUACCAAGGCGACGAUCGGUAGCUGGUCUGAGAGGAUGAUCAGCCACACUGGGACUGAGACACGGCCCAGACUCCUACGGGAGGCAGCAGUGGGGAAUUUUGGACAAUGGGGGCAACCCUGAUCCAGCCAUGCCGCGUGAGUGAAGAAGGCCUUGGGUUGUAACCGCUUUCACCAGGGACGAAGCGAGAGUGACGGUACUUGGGAAGAAGCGCCGGCUAACUACGUGCCAGCAGCCGCGGU
rnacentral:rRNA from 1 species